rnacentral:rRNA from 1 species
ACCAAGGUGAGGCCCUAUGGGUUUCGCCAUUGGAAUGAGAACAAUAUAAAUCUUUUAACGAGUAACAAGUGGAGGGCAAGUCUGGUGCCAGCAGCCGCGGUAAUUCCAGCUCCACAAGUGUAUUCCUAUAUUGUUGCGGUUAAAAAGCUCGUAGUUGGAUCUGAGUGCUUAGCGGGUGGUACAGUGUUUCACUGUCACUGCUUCGCGGCACAUAACCGUCGACUGGCUGCUGUUGUUGCCUUCACCGGUGACGGCAGUUAGCUAUCGACAUGUUUACUUUGAACAAAUCAGAGUGCUCAAAACAGGCGUUUCGCUUGUAUGUUUUUGCAUGGAAUAAUAGAAUAGGACCUUGGGUCUAUUUUGUUGGUUUUCGGAAUCAAGGUAAUGAUUAAGAGGGACAGACGGGGGCAUUCGUACUGCAACGGGAGAGGUGAAAUUCUUGGAUCGUUGCAAGACGAACUACUGCGAAAGCAUUUGCCAAGAAUGUUUUCAUUAAUCAAGAACGAAAGUAACGGGUUCGAAGGCGAUCAGAUACCGCCCUAGUCGUUACCGUAAACGAUUGUAACCGGGAGCUAGCAGGCGCUUUACUAUGGCUCUGCUAGAACCCACCCGGAAACGAAGAGUUUUCGAUAUCCGGGGGAAGUAUACUUGCAAAUGUGAAACUUAAAGGAAUUGACGGAAGGGCACCACCAGGGGUGGAGCCUGCGGCUUAAUUUGACCCAACACGGGGAAACUCAUCCGGUCCGGACACCGUAAGGAUUGACAGAUUGAGAGCUCUUUCUUGAUUUGGUGGGCAGUGGUGCAUGGCCGUUCUUAGUUGGUGGAGUGAUUUGUCUGGUUUAUUCCGAUAACGAACGAGACUCUAGCCUACUAACUAGUAAUGCGAUCUUCUUGUCGUAUUAACUUCUUAGAGGGACAAGCGGUGCUCAGCCGCAUGAAAAAGAGCAAUAACAGGUCUGUGAUGCCCUUCGAUGUUCGGAGCUGCACGCGCGCUACACUGUAGAAUGCAACGUGCUAGCUUGCCUCGCUCGCAAGAGUGGGGUAAUCGGUUGAAAUUUCUACGUGAUUGGGAUAGGGACUUGUAAUUAUUUCCCUUGAACGAGGAAUCCCUAGUAAGUGCAGGUCAUCAGCUUGUGCUGAUUACGUCCCUGCCCUUUGUACACACCGCCCGUCGCUGCCCGGAACUGAGCCAUUUCGAGAAAAAUGGGGACUGAUUGCUUGUGAGCACGCAAGUGCUUCUUGCAGUCGGAAACCAUCU